GUGGAUAUGGAUAUGAAAUCCUUGGUCGACCAGAAGGAGGCGGUGCGUAAGAUGACUGAGGGCGAGCAUAAAAUUGGCUGGUCUGAUAAGGAGGUUUCGCCGUGUUAUAAUUUGAAGAUGGAGGAGGACUCGCGUACAUCGUUGAAGCGUUUCCAGGUUGCCAAGAGUUUGGUCUUUGACUAGUAGGACGCGCAGGUGGGUAUGGCGCUUGAGAAUAGGCAUUGCCAGAUCCAGAACUUGACACAGGCCUUGAGUUUAGACUCGAUGCUGCGUAAUUCGGCAAGGUAGAAGAGGAACUUGAAGGGUGACCAGCAGAAGUAGAU